rnacentral:rRNA from 1 species
UACAGAGGAGCCAAGCGUUGUCCGGAUUGACUGGGCGUAAAGCGCACGCAGGCGGCAUCGCGCGUGGGGUGUGAAAUCUGGCCGCUUAACGGCCAGGCGCCAUCCCAUACGGCGAGGCUGGAGCGAUGCAGAGGUCGGUGGAAUUGCCGGUGUAGUGGUGAAAUGCGUAGAUACCGGGAGGAACACCCGCGGCGAAGGCGGCCCGCUGGGCCACCCCUGACGCUGAGGCACGAAAGCGUGGGGAUCAAACAGGG